CGUACACUCCUGCGGGAGGCAGCAGUGGGGAAUAUUGGACAAUGGGCGCAAGCCUGAUCCAGCCAUGCCGCGUGAGUGAUGAAGGCCCUAGGGUUGUAAAGCUCUUUCACCGGUGAAGAUAAUGACGGUAACCGGAGAAGAAGCCCCGGCUAACUUCGUGCCAGCAGCCGCGGUAAUACGAAGGGGGCUAGCGUUGUUCGGAUUUACUGGGCGUAAAGCGCACGUAGGCGGACUAUUAAGUCAGGGGUGAAAUCCCGGGGCUCAACCCCGGAACUGCCUUUGAUACUGGUAGUCUUGAGUUCGAGAGAGGUGAGUGGAAUUCCGAGUGUAGAGGUGAAAUUCGUAGAUAUUCGGAGGAACACCAGUGGCGAAGGCGGCUCACUGGCUCGAUACUGACGCUGAGGUGCGAAAGUGUGGGGAGCAAACAGGAUUAGAUACCCCAGUAGUCCCAUG
rnacentral:rRNA from 1 species